rnacentral:rRNA from 1 species
UACGUAGGGGCCAGCGUUGUCCGGAAUCAUUGGCGUAAAGCGCGCGUAGGCGGUCAGGUAAGUCCGGUGUGAAAGGUCAAAGGCUCAACCUUUGAAUGCCGCUGGAAACUGCCUGACUUGAGUCCGGAAGGGCGAGGUGGAAUUCCUGGUAGUAGCGGGUGAAAUGCGCAGAUAAUCAGGAGGAACACCAAUGGCGAAGGCAGCUCGCUGGAACGGUACUGACGCUGAGGCGC